rnacentral:rRNA from 1 species
GUGGGGAAUUUUGGACAAUGGGCGCAAGCCUGAUCCAGCAAUGCCGCGUGCAGGAAGAAGGCCUUCGGGUUGUAAACUGCUUUUGUACGGAACGAAACGGUCCGGGUUAAUACCCUGGGCUAAUGACGGUACCGUAAGAAUAAGCACCGGCUAACUACGUGCCAGCAGCCGCGGUAAUACGUAGGGUGCAAGCGUUAAUCGGAAUUACUGGGCGUAAAGCGUGCACAGGCGGUUUUGUAAGACAGGCGUGAAAUCCCCGGGCUCAACCUGGGAAUUGCGCUUGUGACUGCAAGGCUGGAGUGCGGCAGAGGGGGAUGGAAUUCCGCGUGUAGCAGUGAAAUGCGUAGAUAUGCGGAGGAACACCGAUGGCGAAGGCAAUCCCCUGGGCCUGCACUGACGCUCAUGCACGAAAGCGUGGGGAGCAAACAGGAUUAGAAACCCUUGUAGUCC